rnacentral:rRNA from 1 species
UGGGGAAUAUUGCACAAUGGGCGCAAGCCUGAUGCAGCCAUGCCGCGUGUGUGAAGAAGGCCUUCGGGUUGUAAAGCACUUUCAGCGAGGAGGAAGGUGGUGAGCUUAAUACGCUCAUCAAUUGACGUUACUCGCAGAAGAAGCACCGGCUAACUCCGUGCCAGCAGCCGCGGUAAUACGGAGGGUGCAAGCGUUAAUCGGAAUUACUGGGCGUAAAGCGCACGCAGGCGGUUUGUUAAGUCAGAUGUGAAAUCCCCGGGCUCAACCUGGGAACUGCAUUUGAAACUGGCAAGCUAGAGUCUCGUAGAGGGGGGUAGAAUUCCAGGUGUAGCGGUGAAAUGCGUAGAGAUCUGGAGGAAUACCGGUGGCGAAGGCGGCCCCCUGGACGAAGACUGACGCUCAGGUGCGAAAGCGUGGGGCAGCAAACAGGAUUAGAUACCCUGGUAGUCACGCUGUAAACGAUGUCGAUUUUGGAGGUUGUGCCCUUGAGGCGUGGCUUCCGGAGCUAACGCGUUAAAUCGACCGCCUGGGGAGUACGGCCGCAAGGUUAAAACUUAAAUGAAUUGACGGGGUC